UACAGAGGUCUCAAGCGUUGUUCGGAUUCAUUGGGCGUAAAGGGUGCGUAGGUGGCGCUGUAAGUCAGGUGUGAAAUUUCGGAGCUCAACUCCGAAACUGCAUUUGAUACUGCGGUGCUUGAGGACUGGAGAGGAGACUGGAAUUCACGGUGUAGCAGUGAAAUGCGUAGAUAUCGUGAGGAAGACCAGUGGCGAAGGCGGGUCUCUGGACAGUUCCUGACACUGAGGCACGAAGGCUAGGGGAGCAAACGGG
rnacentral:rRNA from 1 species